GAUGAACGCUGGCGGCGUGCCUAAUACAUGCAAGUCGAGCGAACGGACGAGAAGCUUGCUUCUCUGAUGUUAGCGGCGGAGGGGUGAGUAACACGUGUAUAACCCACCUAUAAGUCUGGGAUAACUUGGGGAAACCGGAGAUUAUACCGUAUGAUAUUUUGAACCGCAGGGGUCAAAAGUGAAAGACGGUGUUGCGGUAACUUAUAGAUGGAUCUCGGCUGCAUUAGCUAGUUGGGAAGGUAACGGGUUACCAAGGGAACUAUGCAUAGCCGACGUGAUAGAGUGAUAGGCCACACGGGAGCGGGAACACCGUCCAUGCGACUACGAGACGCAGCAGUAGGGAAUCGUACGCAACGGGCGGAAGCCUUACGGAGCAACGGCGCGCGAGUGGUGAAGGUCUUCGGAUCGUAAAACUCUGUUAUUAGGUAAGAACAGCUUUCUCAGUAACCGUGGCCAGAUUGACGGUACCUAGUCAGAAAGCAACGGCUAACUACGUG
rnacentral:rRNA from 1 species